AUAUCAUGUAGGUCAGGUGACCACUGAGGCCACAAUUUGGAGCUGUAGACUGCAGGGCUUCUGCCUAGUUGGAAUUAACAAGAAUCAACAUGCUUUGGUGUGAAGUGAGGAGUGAGCUACUGAAGGCCUUGUGUCCCUCCCCGUACCAACAAAGCCCAGCCUCCUUUGUUCCUAAAUCCCGAUGAGUUCAGUGUGUGCAGGGCAGUCCCUGGGGUAUGCCUACACCCACCCUGCCCAUAUCGUCCUCAUUUUGCUCAACCGCUCUUCUAUCACAGAAUGAGGCUGGCAAAAGCUUCCAUAAUGCUUCUUGAGAACAAUGGGGAUGACCCAGAAUGUGGUAAGACACAUGGCACAACUGUCCCCACCUACUACCCCGUGAGGGAAGAAGCAGUCUUGAGGCCAGCACCCACCAGCCAGGCUUUAGAUCCUCUGAAGAGAGCUAGAAGGACUGGGAAGGAGUAAGAUCUGAAAUGUCUCAGAGAGUCUGGUAAAGUGAGUUCUACAGAAGAGGAUGUGCUUGUUGGCUUUCUGAUUAUCUACCUGAGGAGAUGUGAGUCCCCUUUGCAGGCCCCCCAGCACCCUUUUCCCUUCUCCUCCCCACCUUUAUUACACACACACACAGUGCCUAAUAGCCAGAAGGAACAUACUAAAAUAUAAUAUCUUGCUGGGCAUGGUGGUGUAUGCCUCUUUCUAGGGGGUCCCUGGUGGCUUCCUUCAGUAACAGACUGCUUCCCUAGCAGACCCUGAGAAGCCAGGGCUCACUGUGAGGCCCAUUUGGAGGGAAUCAAUAUACCAGCCUCACAGUACAGAGCCUGGGCCCUUUGCUCCUGACAAUGACAGCUGAAGUGCCUCCUGUAGAAAACUGUACCAGUCGCUAAGAGUCAAGCAGUCUCACACAGAACAGGAGGAAGGACGACCUUGCAUUCUGGAAAAGGGUGAGAGACAUGUAUUGCUGUGAUAACUUCACAGAAGCCAUGCUUUAGGUAGUUAAGAAUACAGGGAAUACCUGUGGCAGUCAUCACUCUACAGUAGCCUCCCCCGUCUCAAUAAUAAACACAGCUCCAAACACAUGGAGUGGUAACAGGAAGCAGGGAGUCUCUCAAAGUGUAGGCCAUGGCCUUGGACAGAACUAGUUACACAGGCAGAGGAAACUUUGCUUCACACAACAGGAAUAUGAACUUGCAGUGAGAAGAGCAGAACCUGUAGCUGGAUCAGUCUCUGGGUAUUCUGGAGGCCAGCUGAGGUUGGGCUGCUGUUCUGAAGCAGGGCAUGGAUGGAUAUGCAUCAGUCACCAGCCCUGCUAGGGAACUGGCCCUUUGAUGGACAGAACCAAUAGCUCCAUAAAUGACCAUGUGGCCAAAUGUGGCCAAAAGGUUCUCACUUGCAUUCUUCCCCUAAAAACAUCUCAGCAUUCAGUGGCAUCCAUCCAGAAUCCCAACUACAGUAGCACAAAUGUCUCUCAAAAUCUGAAUCAGGCCAGGCAUCCUGAUUUUUAUAGUCAGGCAAGUAUGUUUAGAUCCCUGACCUAACACUAGACUGUAGCCAGCACUUUCAAAUAAUACCCAACUGGCCUGGGAAUGAAUACAGAGGCCAAGGGUGUGUAUACAGGUCCCGUGGAAGCCACAUCUCUCUCCAAUGGAUUAUUGUCACCCAAAAUCUAGUACAUGUUGCUCCCAAAACUUCAACCUUCAAUAAUUGUGACAUUUAGAGGUGGAAAAGGGCAAAAGGGGGGAGUCACUGUAAAUAGAUUCUGAAAGGUUAUAUGUAUUGGGUUUUGCUAUCUUUUACAACUUUGACCCAAACAAUAGUAUUUUCCCUCCAUGCUGAUUUAAUGAAGCUGAAACACAACAAAGACCCAUUCAGUUUGUGUACAAUGACCAGGAACUUCCAAACACAGCCCCAGAGGACUCCUCAAAACAGCCACAGCACACUUCCUCCAGACCUGCCUGUCACCAGAACCUGCUGGCACUGGACUUUGGCUGGUGGUACAGAAUAUGCACACCAUUUCCCUGUCCUUGAUCCCCUGAGGCCUCUGGGCUGUGGCAUUCACUCUGAGCAUGCAAUUGGCUCUAGCUCUAUUCCUGGAUUAUCAGGAGUGACAAGUCUUCACUCUCGUAAAACCAAAACAAACAAAAAAAUCAACCAAAAACUCCAUGUCACUGACCAGCCACUGCUCCAGGAAGUUCUCAUGUGAAUAUCUGUGAGAGGUACCCGAGAGAUCCAGCCUGGUUGCUCAGUGGCAUGUUCAGGACUCUCUGACUCCCCUUAAGUGACUCUCCUAGAAAAUUAGUAAAUUUUCUGUCACAUAUAUGUGACAGAUAAGAUCAAAAGGAGGUAUUCUCCCUCUCCUCUUUCUCCCUUUCUCCCUCCCCCGCUCUCUCUCUCAUGUGUAUUCCUAGUUUCUUUAUCCCAGAGCCACACUGGCUGAUACAACUGAGCUGGUGUCUGAUGCUGUCCUAGACCCAAGCAGCUAAAUAUUAAACUGUUUAAUAUUUAGACUUUACUAGCAGGCGGCACUUUGGGUUUGAGCAAAGACAAAUGGGAAGGUUGGGUCACAAACAAGGCUCAUUGGUCCAUUUAUCAAGCACAGAGCAUAAAGGACACAGAAGCUCUCGUGUUCCCACAAAACACGAGCCCAGACUGACGAAACAUUCAUGUGCAGGCUUCAUAUUCAGACCUCGUAGACCCAGAGGAAAAAAACAAAAAUGCCCACAGCUUUUCAGUGAGUCUCAAGAAGACUCUAGUUAACACUUCUUAUACCCAACACUACUUCAGAAUAUCAGAAACAAAUGUUACAAC
rnacentral:lncRNA from 1 species